UGGCAAUCCACCAGAUGUGGCAACUAUCUUUUUUGAGACUCUGAAGAAGGACAGUAAGCUUGUUGAACCUGAAACCAAUGAAAAAUAUUCUAAAAUCCAAGAAGUGGUGCAAUCUUAAUCAUCUCUUACAAACAUUGAGGUUGUAGAGAGGUGCUUUGGACCUCAACGCAAGAGUCAUGUAGUUAGAUUUGGUGGUGGAAUAACCGCUAAGGAGUUGAAAGGUGGCAACUCCUCGAAAACUGCAUUAUUAGAGAAGUUGAAUGCUACUAAAAAGGAAAAUGAAUCACUAAAAGGACGUUUGGAGGACUAAAGAGUAAAUAUGAUGUGUUAGACAGUAAAUACACACAGCUUGCAAGUGCAGUAUUUGAUCAGCCUUCAUCACUAUCUUCAAUUGAGCAAUAGAUUGAAUCAUUUAACAGAGAGCAUACAUGGGGACAAGAUGAUUUUGAAUCUGCUGGUUAUGCACGUGUGGAUAUCUAUUUUCCUCUUGUUCUUCUACUACUUGUUCUUGUCUUUGUUGCCAAUUAUGACUCAUUCUGAUGCCUUUGACAGAGUCUAACUCUUCUCCUAAUAAUGAAUAUAUUAGCUUACUUUCUCUUUUAUACUAAAUGUAGUUAAUGUCAUUCUGGUCCUCAUAUUCAAUCAGAGAAAUCGAA